UCAGUUUUAGUAACGACUUUAUAGCAGUUAUUGCCACCACCAAAAAAGAAAAAAGCGUAGAAGAAGAAAAAGAGAAAUGCUAAGUAGCAGAGUAACAGCAGCAAUUUCUUCUUCUACUACUACAACUCUUUUCAUUAAUAACCCCAAAAUCUUAUCCAAUAAAUUUUCUUACAUUUCUAACCCAUUGAACAAUUCUGCAAAAUCCAUUAAAUGGAAUUGUAGGAAUUCAAGAAUGGAGAAAUCUGCAUCAAGUUUUGUUACCAGAGCUUCAGCUCAGCCCCUUACAAAUCCUGGAGAAUUAAUUGAUUCUGUUGAAACCUUCAUCUUUGAUUGUGACGGAGUCAUAUGGAAGGGAGAUAAACUAAUAGACAGGGUCCCUGAAACUCUUGAUUUGCUCAGAGAAAAGGGGAAAAGAUUAGUUUUUGUUACAAACAACUCAACAAAGUCUAGAAAGCAGUAUGGGAAAAAGUUUGAAACACUUGGUCUUAGUGUCAGCGAAGAGGAAAUUUUUGCUUCAUCCUUUGCUGCAGCUGCUUAUUUGAAGUCUAUUGACUUCCCAAAAGAUAAAAAGGUGUACGUUGUUGGUGAGGAAGGCAUCUUGAAGGAGCUUGAGUUAGCUGGCAUUCAACAUAUUGGUGGACCGGAAGAUGGUGACAAGAAAAUAGAGCUAAAGCCUGGAUAUAUGAUGGAGCAGGAUAAGGAUGUCGGAGCUGUUGUUGUUGGAUUUGACCGCUAUUUCAACUACCACAAAAUUCAAGUGUGCUAUUUCUGUCUUACAUACUCGAGUCAGAAAGCGGUAUUUCAAAACUUUUUGUGUCUUCUGCUUUGAUCAUUCUGUACAGUCAUAGCCAUAAAAGAAUUUUUCCGUCUUUAAACUAAGCUGCAUUGUUGCUGUUCUGUUGCUUCAGGUGGAGGUUCAAUGGUUGGUGCGAUCCUAGGCUCUACAAAGCGUGAACCACUUGUUGUAGGAAAGCCCUCAACCUUCAUGAUGGACUACUUGGCUAAUGAGUUUAACAUCCAGAAGUCCCAGAUAUGCAUGGUUGGCGACAGACUAGAUACUGAUAUACUGUUCGGACAAAAUGGUGGUUGCAAAACUCUUCUGGUUCUCUCAGGUGUGACAUCUGUAUCGAUGCUUCAAGAUCCCAAAAACUCUAUUCAACCAGAUUUCUACGCCAACAAGAUUUCUGAUUUCCUCUCCAUCAAAGCGACUGCAGUUUGAGCAAUCCCCUGAUUAUCUUUAUAUGGUGAUUCCAUUCUUUUGACUAAUAUGUAUUGAGAAGAUGUAUUUCAUCUGUGCAUCCCUUACCCGUUUAACUGAAAGAUGGGAGCUUGAAAUUAGGCGCUAUCUGAGAAACUACACAAUGCUUUGUAGUAAAGAUUAUCAAACCAUUUAAACUUUUAAAUAAUAAUGGUUCUUGAAAAAAUGAA